rnacentral:lncRNA from 1 species
AACAUUUCCUUGCAUUAUGAAAGAGGCCAGACCUGCUUCAGGGCUAGCAGCUUAAUUCAGCCUCCGGUAAAACUCGGCUUAUGCUCACCGCUACUUGAACCUCAGCCUUUUCAUUUACACAGGGCAGAAUGGAGGCUGAGCCAGACCUUCAUCUCACUUCUUGCCUAUGCAUGUCACUCCAAGUUACAGGGAAAGCCAAGUCCCAGGAGGGAAUUUUUGGAAGAACUCAAGGAUAGAUGCAAUGUGUCAUUGAAGUUGAAAGGAGCAGUUACUUAUAAAAGAUGGUGCUUUUUACAGGUCUCCUCUUCACCGAUCUGGGAAGAGGUAAGUUACCAUUACAUGAGGGGCAUUGCCUCUAUUCAUCAAUGGUGAGAGCCUGAAGGCAGCUGUCAGUCAUGCCAAUCUAUAGUACCACACCUCUCAGAAGAAGAGUUUCUAUCACACCAUAGAGAAAUAUGCACAUGGCAGAUUUAGCGAGGACAAGAGACAGCUGAAAGAGCAACAUUAGUAUUCCCUUUCUAAAAUUCUCCCUCUACAGGAGUCGUUCCUGCCAGGGACAGCUAGCACAACACCAGGCAAUAUGAAGGGGAGGAUGCCUAAUGCAACAAAAAGACAUGCCACCGAAGCCUGCCUCAGUUAAAGGUGGCAGGUUGAUCUUGCAGGGUG